rnacentral:rRNA from 1 species
AGAUUAAGUUAUUAAGGGCGCACGGUGGAUGCCUUGGCACUAGAAGCCGAUGAAGGACGUUACUAACGACGAUAUGCUUUGGGUAGCUGUAAGUAAGCGUUGAUCCAGAGAUUUCCGAAUGGGGGAACCCAGCAUGAGUUAUGUCAUGUUAUCGACAUGUGAAUUCAUAGCAUGUCAGAAGGCAGACCCGGAGAACUGAAACAUCUUAGUACCCGGAGGAAGAGAAAGAAAAAUCGAUUCCCUGAGUAGCGGCGAGCGAAACGGGAAGAGCCCAAACCAACAAGCUUGCUUGUUGGGGUUGUAGGACACUCUAUACGGAGUUACAAAAGAACAUGUUAGACGAAUCAUCUGGAAAGAUGAAUCAAAGAAGGUAAUAAUCCUGUAGUCGAAAACAUAUUCUCUCUUGAGUGGAUCCUGAGUACGACGGAGCACGUGAAAUUCCGUCGGAAUCUGGGAGGACCAUCUCCUAAGGCUAAAUACUCUCUAGUGACCGAUAGUGAACCAGUACCGUGAGGGAAAGGUGAAAAGUACCCCGGAAGGGGAGUGAAAGAGAACUUGAAACCGUGUGCUUACAAGUAGUCAGAGCCCGUUAAUGGGUGAUGGCGUGCCUUUUGUAGAAUGAACCGGCGAGUUACGAUCUGAUGCAAGGUUAAGCAGCAAAUGUGGAGCCGCAGCGAAAGCGAGUCUGAAUACGGCGUUGAGUAUUUGGUCGUAGACCCGAAACCAGGUGAUCUACCCUUGGUCAGGUUGAAGUUCAGGUAACACUGAAUGGAGGACCGAACCGACUUACGUUGAAAAGUGAGCGGAUGAACUGAGGGUAGCGGAGAAAUUCCAAUCGAACUUGGAGAUAGCUGGUUCUCUCCGAAAUAGCUUUAGGGCUAGCCUCAAGUGAUGAUUAUUGGAGGUAGAGCACUGUUUGGACGAGGGGCCCCUCUCGGGUUACCGAAUUCAGACAAACUCCGAAUGCCAAUUAAUUUAACUUGGGAGUCAGAACAUGGGUGAUAAGGUCCGUGUUCGAAAGGGAAACAGCCCAGACCACCAGCUAAGGUCCCAAAAUAUAUGUUAAGUGGAAAAGGAUGUGGCGUUGCCCAGACAACUAGGAUGUUGGCUUAGAAGCAGCCAUCAUUUAAAGAGUGCGUAAUAGCUCACUAGUCGAGUGACACUGCGCCGAAAAUGUACCGGGGCUAAACAUAUUACCGAAGCUGUGGAUUGUCCUUUGGACAAUGGUAGGAGAGCGUUCUAAGGGCGUCGAAGCAUGAUCGCAAGGACAUGUGGAGCGCUUAGAAGUGAGAAUGCCGGUGUGAGUAGCGAAAGACGGGUGAGAAUCCCGUCCACCGAUUGACUAAGGUUUCCAGAGGAAGGCUCGUCCGCUCUGGGUUAGUCGGGUCCUAAGCUGAGGCCGACAGGCGUAGGCGAUGGAUAACAGGUUGAUAUUCCUGUACCACCUAGUAUCGUUUUAAUCGAUGGGGGGACGCAGUAGGAUAGGCGAAGCGUGCUGUUGGAGUGCACGUCCAAGCAGUAAGGCUGAGUGUUAGGCAAAUCCGGCACUCAUAAGGCUGAGCUGUGAUGGGGAGAGGAAAUUGUUUCCUCGAGUCGUUGAUUUCACACUGCCGAGAAAAGCCUCUAGAUAGAUAACAGGUGCCCGUACCGCAAACCGACACAGGUAGUCAAGAUGAGAAUUCUAAGGUGAGCGAGCGAACUCUCGUUAAGGAACUCGGCAAAAUGACCCCGUAACUUCGGGAGAAGGGGUGCUCUUUAGGGUUCACGCCCAGAAGAGCCGCAGUGAAUAGGCCCAAGCGACUGUUUAUCAAAAACACAGGUCUCUGCUAAACCGUAAGGUGAUGUAUAGGGGCUGACGCCUGCCCGGUGCUGGAAGGUUAAGAGGAGUGGUUAGCUUCUGCGAAGCUACGAAUCGAAGCCCCAGUAAACGGCGGCCGUAACUAUAACGGUCCUAAGGUAGCGAAAUUCCUUGUCGGGUAAGUUCCGACCCGCACGAAAGGCGUAACGAUUUGGGCACUGUCUCAACGAGAGACUCGGUGAAAUCAUAGUACCUGUGAAGAUGCAGGUUACCCGCGACAGGACGGAAAGACCCCGUGGAGCUUUACUGUAGCCUGAUAUUGAAAUUCGGCACAGCUUGUACAGGAUAGGUAGGAGCCUUUGAAACGUGAGCGCUAGCUUACGUGGAGGCGUUGGUGGGAUACUACCCUAGCUGUGUUGGCUUUCUAACCCGCACCACUUAUCGUGGUGGGAGACAGUGUCAGGCGGGCAGUUUGACUGGGGCGGUCGCCUCCUAAAAGGUAACGGAGGCGCUCAAAGGUUCCCUCAGAAUGGUUGGAAAUCAUUCAUAGAGUGUAAAGGCAUAAGGGAGCUUGACUGCGAGACCUACAAGUCGAGCAGGGUCGAAAGACGGACUUAGUGAUCCGGUGGUUCCGCAUGGAAGGGCCAUCGCUCAACGGAUAAAAGCUACCCCGGGGAUAACAGGCUUAUCUCCCCCAAGAGUUCACAUCGACGGGGAGGUUUGGCACCUCGAUGUCGGCUCAUCGCAUCCUGGGGCUGUAGUCGGUCCCAAGGGUUGGGCUGUUCGCCCAUUAAAGCGGUACGCGAGCUGGGUUCAGAACGUCGUGAGACAGUUCGGUCCCUAUCCGUCGUGGGCGUAGGAAAUUUGAGAGGAGCUGUCCUUAGUACGAGAGGACCGGGAUGGACAUACCUCUGGUGUACCAGUUGUCGUGCCAACGGCAUAGCUGGGUAGCUAUGUAUGGACGGGAUAAGUGCUGAAAGCAUCUAAGCAUGAAGCCCCCCUCAAGAUGAGAUUUCCCAACUUCGGUUAUAAGAUCCCUCGAAGAUGACGAGGUUAAUAGGUUCGAGGUGGAAGCGUGGUGACACGUGGAGCUGACGAAUACUAAUCGAUCGAAGACUUAAUCAAUUUUUAAA